CGUACUUCGACGGAUGAGACUCUCGAACCAGCCGGUUUUGAUAGAUCAUAAAUCACCUGGUCGGAUUGAAAAACGUUCGAAAAAUGUAUGAAAAUUAGAAUCAUCUCCGAGGAGUGCUAUCUUCGGACUGUAGAUAUUUUUGCACGAUUUGAAAGCGUGUCGUGGUCGUUGAUCUCUCCAGUUCAUCUAUCGAAAAUUCAAAGAAGGAAGUCGAAUUGGCGAAUCGUUUUUACGGCUGAUGGCAAGCAGACGCUAAGUCGAAUACGGAAUUGCUGGGCGCUCCCACAAACACUUUUAGAUUUAGCAAUAUUCACGAAACACAGAAAUCUUUCGUUAUGAAAUCUUGGGAAUACUGAAAGUAAAACUUCAAUAGGUUUCGAGGAUUCAAACACGAACAAGGAAAAGGAAGCAUCAAUCCAUGACUCGACAGUGAGCGCGACCUGCGUCUUUCGCUGCUCGUGUCUUCAUUCAUUCGAUCCCGCGGUGCUCGACGUCGAACAGUCUUUAUGCCGACUUAUAAAUGACUCCAAAUAAGUGAGCGAUUCGUCAAAGCCUCCGAACCUUCGACGCACUUGAGAGCCUCCUAAUGAGCUCAGCCACGAUUCCGUUACUCACCAUUGUAAACGCGUUCUCCGAAACAACAAAUCGUUCGUGACGGAGAAACCAUGAAAUUAAAAGCUACUGGGGACGCAGUAUUCGUUUAAAAACAACUGUAGUAAUCAUAGCGAGGAGAAAGCAACUCAGAACUUUGACAAAGACAUGGAGGGUGAAAGUCAGUUUUUAAAAUUAGAAUUCUGAGGAUUCGAUAAAUAUAGGAAGCUUCCGAGGAAAUAAGUCGGCACGGAAAUUCAUGCAGGAGGAAGGCGCAAGAACAAUGACGUCUUGCGUUGUUACUGAAUAGAAUUAUUUGUCUGAAUUUGAAUUGGAUUCUCAAUCGAGUAUAAACAUUUGGAAAAGUUACCUUUUCAUCUUCAGCUUUACGUAUGGAAGUCCUGAUCGAUCCACUAUUGUGAAUAGCAAUCGCUGCGUCAGUCCAGCCAUCGUAUUCGACGUAUUGUUUUGCAUUCUGCGAAUGAAAUAUUCAUGAAAAAUUUAAUCGCUACGCUAACCAGUUAGAUAAUUAUGCGUAAAGAAUGAAUUAAAAAUAGUGUUUUUCCGAUCGAGUUUACAUGGAUUCUUGGCAAUCGGGCACUCACGUAAUCGAUCAUUGCAUCGGUUAUGAGAUUUCCGAGGUUGCAUUCCUUUCUUCUACAACUUUUACCGUCACCGUCGAGGAAAACUUUAGUUGAACCAACCACGGUGUUUAUCAUGUCGUUGACCGCGGGUCGCCACUUUUCUAAUUCUUCCAGAACAUCCUCUGCCUGUUACAAUCCAUCAGUUUCGUUCAAAUUUUUGAAAUGUGCAACGAGUUCGAAGGUCCCCGGGCAACGGUUAAAAAAUUAUUAAAACCUUCCAAAAUUACUUUCAACGUGAAUCAAAUGCUAAAAAUAAAAAUUCAAAAAAUCCACAGUAUUUCCAUGA